GGGUUAACCCCUCACUAGUAUGUUGAAGCCGUCCUCGCAUGGUGGAUUGUUGAUUCAGGUUGAGUUUUCUCCCAUUGGUAAUGAAAAGCCUUAAUGCUUGUGUUUUAAAAUGAACUCACUGAUUUUUGGAAAUCUUUUAGCCGAACUACGGCGUUUUGAUCCUUACCUUUGAUGGAAGGUACGUAGGCAACGGGUUCAUCUGUUCAAACACAAAAAUAAU
rnacentral:lncRNA from 1 species